rnacentral:rRNA from 1 species
AGUGGCUUCCGGAGCUAACGCGUUAAAUCGACGCUGGGAGUACGGCCGCAAGGUUAAAACUCAAAUGAAUUGACGGGGGCCCGCACAGCGGUGGAGCAUGUGGUUUAAUUCGAUGCAACGCGAAGAACCUUACCUACUCUUGACAUCCAGAGAAUUUAGCAGAGAUGCUUUAGUGCUUUCGGGAACUCUGAGACAGGUGCUGCAUGGCUGUCGUCAGCUCGUGUUGUGAAAUGUUGGGUUAAGUCCCGCAACGAGCGCAACCCUUAUCCUUUGUUGCCAGCACGUUAUGGUGGGAACUCAAAGGAGACUGCCGGUGAUAAACCGGAGGAAGGUGGGGAUGACGUCAAGUCAUCAUGGCCCUUACGAGUAGGGCUACACACGUGCUACAAUGGCGUAUACAAAGAGAAGCGACCUCGCGAGAGCAAGCGGAACUCAUAAAGUACGUCGUAGUCCGGAUUGGAGUCUGCAACUCGACUCCAUGAAGUCGGAAUCGCUAGUAAUCGUAGAUCAGAAUGCUACGGUGAAUACGUUCCCGGGCCUUGUACACACCGCCCGUCACACCAUGGGAGUGGGUUGCAAAAGAAGUAGGUAGCUUAACCUUCGGGGGGGCGCUUACCACUUUGUGAUUCAUGACUGGGGUGAAGUCGUAACAAGGUAACCA